AUUGCAUCGGGAGUUUUCUUUUCAUCUUUCCUUAUCCAUUUGUUGUUUUUAUUUUGCUUUUUGCUUUUUGGUUUCUCCUUCCUUUUCUUUCUUUUCUUUCUUUCUUUCUUUCUUUUCUUUUCUUUUUUUUUUUUGAUUCUAUUUUCUUUCCACAGAGCGUCGAGCUCAAACCCGUUUUUCGCGAUUGAGAAAGGCAAAAAAAUGACUAGCAUAUUUCUUUAAAUGUAACCCAAUCCAUAACAAGGACUUCGUCUAGGAAAAGAAACCAGCAACUCUUGGCAUAUCCCAUAAAAAAAUAUAAAUGG
rnacentral:sRNA from 2 species